rnacentral:rRNA from 1 species
ACACGUGGGAAUCUUCCUAUCGGUACGGAAUAGCUCAGGGAAACUUGAGGUAAUACCGCAUACGCCCUUCGGGGGAAAGAUUUAUCGCCGAUAGAUGAGCCCGCGUCUGAUUAGCUAGUUGGUGGGGUAAUGGCCUACCAAGGCGACGAUCAGUAGCUGGUCUGAGAGGAUGACCAGCCACACUGGGACUGAGACACAGCCCAGACUCCUACGGGAGGCAGCAGUGGGGAAUAUUGGACAAUGGGCGCAAGCCUGAUCCAGCCAUGCCGCGUGAGUGACGAAGGUCUUCGGAUUGUAAAGCUCUUUUGCCAGGGACGAUAAUGACGGUACCUGGAGAAUAAGCCCCGGCUAACUUCGUGCCAGCAGCCGCGGUAAUACGAAGGGGGCUAGCGUUGUUCGGAAUUACUGGGCGUAAAGCGCACGUAGGCGGAUUUGUCAGUCAGGGGUGAAAUCCCGGGGCUCAACCUCGGAACUGCCUUUGAUACUGCAAGUCUAGAGUCCGGAAGAGGUGAGUGGAAUUCCUAGUGUAGAGGUGAAAUUCGUAGAUAUUAGGAAGAACACCAGUGGCGAAGGCGGCUCACUGGUCCGGUACUGACGCUGAGGUGCGAAAGCGUGGGGAGNCAACAGGAUUAGAUACCCUGGUAGUCCAC